UUGUAAAUAUGUAGCCCGCUCAGGAUGGAGCUAACCUGAACUCUGUAAUUUGCAGGGGAGGCUCACUGCCCCUUGGAUGGGCAGUGAGCUCUGGGUU
ensembl:misc_RNA